rnacentral:hammerhead_ribozyme from 1 species
AUCCGUCUGAUGAGUUCCAAGUAGGACGAAACGUGCGUCAAACUGGAU